rnacentral:rRNA from 1 species
AGAAGCAGGCGCGAAAAUUAUCCAAUCCUGACUCAGGGAGGUAGUGAAAGAAAUAAUGAACUAGGAUUUAUCCUGGGAUCACAAUGGGCUUGAUUUGCAAACACUUAGCGAGGAACAAUUGGAGGGCAAGUCUGGUGCCAGCAGCCGCGGUAAUUCCAGCUCCAAUAGAGUAUAUAAACGUUCCUGCAGUUAUUCGAUGCUCGUAGUUGGAUUUCUGAGGUUGAGACGGGAGGGUGGCUAUGGCCAUCGCCCGACUCUUUCCUCAUCCACCUGUUUGCGAAUCCCGGGAUUGAUUUCUCGGUUUCGGGCGCAGGAUCUUACCAUUUCAUAUUGCGUAGUCUUCAUCGAUUAUGUUGUUUCUUUGAGCAAAUUAUAGUGUUUCAGGCAGGCGUGCGCCGGAAUACGUUAGCAUGGUAUAAACGAAUUGGACCGUGUGCCCGUAACUGGGCUUCUCCUUAUUGUUGGUUUGAAGGACACGGAGAUGGUUAAUAGGGACAGAAUUUAUUCAGGGGGAGGCAUUAGUAUUUAAUUUCCAGAGGUGAAAUUCUUUGAAAUAUUAAAGACUAACAUAUGCGAAAGCAUUCUUUGCCAAUGAUGUUUUCAUUAAUCAUUGAACGAAAGUUAGGGGAUCAAAGACGAUCAGAUACCGUCCUAGUCUUAACCAUAAACGUUGCCGACUAGGGAUCGGAGGGCGUGCACAUUCCGCCUUCGGCACCUUACGAGAAAUCAAAGUCUUUUGGGUUCUGUGGGUAGUAUGGUCGCAGCU